GAUGAACGCUAGCGGCAGGCUUAACACAUGCAAGUCGAGGGGCAGCAGUUUGGUAGCAAUACUAGAUGAUGGCGACCGGCGGAUGGGUGAGUAACGCGUAUGUAACCUACGUAUAACAGGGGGAUAGCCGUUUGAAAAGACGAGUAAACCGCCAUAAUGUACUGAAUAGGCAUCUAUUUAGUAAGAAAAGAGAGAUCUAGUUAUAGAUGGGCAUGCGUAUGAUUAGCUAGUUGGUGUAGUAGAGGUGCACCAAGGCGACGAUCAUUAGGGGUUCUGAGAGGAAGGUCCCCCACAUUGGAACUGAGAACGGUCCAAACUCCUACGGGAGGCAGCAGUGAGGAAUAUUGGGCAAUGGGGGAAACCCUGACCCAGCGACGCCGCGUGGGUGAAGAAAUCCUUCGGGAUGUAAAGCCCUGUUGUAUGGGAAGAGCGGAAGACGGUACCAUACGAGGAAGCCCCGGACAAACUACGUGCCAGCAGCCGCGGUAAACGUCUACUG
rnacentral:rRNA from 1 species